rnacentral:rRNA from 1 species
GUAUUCUAAGGCGCUUGAGAGAACUCAGGAGAAGGAACUCGGCAAAUUGACACCGUAACUUCGGAAGAAGGUGUGCCUUUAGUAGGUGAACCUGUACAAGGGGAGCCCAAUGAGGUUGCAAAAAAUCGGUGGCUGCGACUGUUUAAUAAAAACACAGCACUCUGCAAACACGAAAGUGGACGUAUAGGGUGUGACGCCUGCCCGGUGCUGGAAGAUUAAAUGAUGGGGUGCAAGCUCUUGAUUGAAGUCCCAGUAAACGGCGGCCGUAACUAUAACGGUCCUAAGGUAGCGAAAUUCCUUGUCGGGUAAGUUCCGACCUGCACGAAUGGCGUAACGAUGGCCACACUGUCUCCUCCUGAGACUCAGCGAAGUUGAAAUGUUUGUGAUGAUGCAAUCUCCCCGCGGAAAGACGGAAAGACCCCAUGAACCUUUACUGUAGCUUUGUAUUGGACUUUGAACAGAUCUGUGUAGGAUAGGUGGGAGGCUUUGAAGUGUGGUCGCUAGAUCGCAUGGAGCCAACGUUGAAAUACCACCCUGGUGUGUUUGAGGUUCUAACCUAGGCCCGUAAUCCGGGUCGGGGACAGUGCAUGGUAGGCAGUUUGACUGGGGCGGUCUCCUCCCAAAGCGUAACGGAGGAGUUCGAAGGUACGCUAGGUACGGUCGGACAUCGUGCUAAUAGUGCAAUGGCAUAAGCGUGCUUAACUGCGAGACUGACAAGUCGAGCAGAUGCGAAAGCAGGACAUAGUGAUCCGGUGGUUCUGUAUGGAAGGGCCAUCGCUCAACGGAUAAAAGGUACUCUGGGGAUAACAGGCUGAUACCGCCCAAGAGUUCAUAUCGACGGCGGUGUUUGGCACCUCGAUGUCGGCUCAUCUCAUCCUGGGGCUGUAGCCGGUCCCAAGGGUAUGGCUGUUCGCCAUUUAAAGAGGUACGUGAGCUGGGUUUAAAACGUCGUGAGACAGUUUGGUCCCUAUCUUCCGUGGGCGCUGCAGAUUUGAGGAAGCCUGCUCCUAGUACGAGAGGACCGGAGUGGACACACCUCUGGUGUAUCGGUUGUCACGCCAGUGGCAUUGCCGAGUAGCUAUGUGUGGAAGAGAUAACCGCUGAAAGCAUCUAAGCGGGAAACUCGUUUCAAGAUGAGAUCUGCCGGGGCCUUGAGCCCCCUAAAGAGUCGUUCAAGACCAGGACGUUGAUAGGUCGGGUGUGGAAGCGCAGUAAUGCGUUAAGCUAACCGAUACUAAUUGCUCGUGCGGCUUGACCUG